UUUAUAAUUUUUUUUGAAAUUUUCGUUUUUUAUUAUUUUAUUAUUUUUAUUUAAAAUUAAUUCCCUAAACCGAUAUAUGCCGAUUUACACUAAUUUAGGACUACCCAGCACAUGAAUAUAACAAGAACCAAGCUCAAAUCGACCGUUUCAAGAUCGAAACUUGGUUUGCGCAUUUCGUCAAACAUUUGGCGUGCAUCAAAUCAUCCCAAACCAGCUUCCUCGGGCCAUGUUUGCGGCCUUCAAUCUCAACGCAUGAGCAAUAUUAUGCGGAACUAAAACAUCAAGGUUAAACUAUCACAUGCAAGGAGUAAGAUUAGAUAGAAAUCACAGCUUAAAACACACGAAAACCAAGCUGGAAUCGGCCUCAAAUAUGUGGGUUGAGCUGAUUUUGAAAUCUGGGUUUGAACCAAAGUCAAGUAAACAGGUUGCAUGCCCAUAUUCAAGCCUCAACACUCAUCGUAUACGAGAUCUAAAGGAAACAUUACUUGAUCCGAGUAAAAGUAGGUAACAUGAUCUUUCAAAUGCAAUAAACAUCACAGAGAAUGACCCACCGAACAACAUCAAAACGACCUCUCCAAGAAGCACACAUGCAACACUCUUGACACUUAGAAAAAUUUCAACCUCAGAAAUCAGUUUUCCGGGCUGGUUUCCCUCUUGAUUUUCAUGAUCAAAACAUACUCAAAAUCGAAAAUACGUACAUCUAGGAUGCUUACCUUACUUCCUAG
rnacentral:lncRNA from 1 species